UGAGCAGGCUGUGUGGCAGCGUGUUUUUACAUGAGGAAAGUCCGAGCAUCACAGGACAGGAUAGCUGCUAACGGCAGCCGAAGGCGACUUUAGGGAAAGUGCAACAGAAAAUUACCGCCGGGAUUUCCCCGGUAAGGAUGGAAAGGCGAGGUAAGAGCUCACCAGCGGGAUGGAGACAUCCCGGCUAUGUAAACCCUAUCCGAUGCAACACCGACUGGAAGGUUAUCGCUGGUCCGGCGCUUCCGAAAGGUGGCUUGAGCAGGGCGGCAACGUCCUGUCGAGAUAGAUUGUCACACACGACAGAACUCGGCUUACAGGCCUGGUCACAUC
rnacentral:RNase_P_RNA from 1 species